UACGUAGGGGGCAAGCGUUGUCCGGAAUCACUGGGCGUAAAGCGCGCGCAGGCGGCUGUCUACGUCCGGGGUGAAAGCCCAGAGCUCAACUCUGGGACUGCCUUGGAUACGGGAUGGCUUGAGGAUCGGAGAGGCAAGGGGAAUUCCACGUGUAGCGGUGAAAUGCGUAGAGAUGUGGAGGAACACCGGUGGCGAAGGCGGCGUCCUGGACCAACACUGACACUGAUAAGCGAAAGCCAGGGGAGCAAACGGG
rnacentral:rRNA from 1 species